rnacentral:rRNA from 1 species
ACGUACACUCCUGCGGGAGGCAGCAGUGGGGAAUAUUGGACAAUGGGCGCAAGCCUGAUCCAGCCAUGCCGCGUGAGUGAUGAAGGCCCUAGGGUUGUAAAGCUCUUUCACCGGUGAAGAUAAUGACGGUAACCGGAGAAGAAGCCCCGGCUAACUUCGUGCCAGCAGCCGCGGUAAUACGAAGGGGGCUAGCGUUGUUCGGAUUUACUGGGCGUAAAGCGCACGUAGGCGGACUAUUAAGUCAGGGGUGAAAUCCCGGGGCUCAACCCCGGAACUGCCUUUGAUACUGGUAGUCUUGAGUUCGAGAGAGGUGAGUGGAAUUCCGAGUGUAGAGGUGAAAUUCGUAGAUAUUCGGAGGAACACCAGUGGCGAAGGCGGCUCACUGGCUCGAUACUGACGCUGAGGUGCGAAAGCGUGGGGAGCAAACAGGAUUAGAAACCCGGGUAGUCC